UAUUGGUGAUGAGGACAAUACCUAAGAAGCGACAUAAAUCUCUCUCAUUCAUGAUAGAGAUUUUUAUCUGGAUUUUAUUUGAAACUCAAGAUCUCACUCCUCAACCC
rfam:Capsicum annuum cultivar Zunla-1 chromosome 10, whole genome shotgun sequence